GACGAACCGAGCGAACGUUGUUCGGAAUCACUGGGCUUAAAGGGCGCGUAGGCGGGCCGGACGGUCCGGGGUGAAAUCCCCCCGCUCAACGGGGGAACGGCCCCGGACACCGCCGGCCUCGAGGGGGUAGGGCGAGCGGAACGCUGGGUGGAGCGGUGAAAUGCGUUGAUAUCCAGCGGAACUCCGGUGGCGAAGGCGGCG
rnacentral:rRNA from 1 species